rnacentral:rRNA from 1 species
GAUUAACGCUGGCGGCGUGCAUAACACAUGCAAGUCGAACGAUGAAACUUAACUGAUUUCUUCGGAAUGAUUUUAAGUGGAUUAGUGGCGGACGGGUGAGUAACGCGUGAGUAACCUGCCUUGGAGAAGGGGAUAGCCUUUGGAAACGAAGAAUAAUACCCUAUGAUAUGAUAAUAUCUCAUGAUAUUAUCAUCAAAGAUUUAUCGCUCUAAGAUGGACUUGCGUCUGAUUAGUUAGUUGGUGAGGUAACAGCUCACCAAGGCAGCGAUCAGUAGCCGGCUUGAGAGAGUGUACGGCCACAUUGGGACUGAGACACGGCCCAGACUCCUACGGGAGGCAGCAGUGGGGAAUUUUGCACAAUGGGGGAAACCCUGAUGCAGCGACGCCGCGUGAUUUAGAAGGCCUUCGGGUCGUAAAAAUCUUUUGUAUGGGAAGAAAAUGACAGUACCAUACGAAUAAGGACCGGCUAAUUACGUG